UACGUAGGGUGCGAGCGUUAAUCGGAAUUACUGGGCGUAAAGUGUGCGCAGGCGGCCGCGCAAGUCGAGUGUGAAAUCCCCGAGCUUAACUUGGGAAUUGCGCUCGAAACUACGUGGCUGGAGUGUGGCAGAGGAAGGUGGAAUUCCACGUGUAGCGGUGAAAUGCGUAGAGAUGUGAGGAACACCGAUGGCGAAGGCAGCCUUCUGGGCCAACACUGACGCUCAUGCACGAAAGCGUGGGGAGCAAACAGG
rnacentral:rRNA from 1 species